UACGAAGGGGGCUAGCGUUGCUCGGAAUCACUGGGCGUAAAGGGUGCGUAGGCGGGUCUUUAAGUCAGGGGUGAAAUCCUGGAGCUCAACUCCAGAACUGCCUUUGAUACUGAAGAUCUUGAGUUCGGGAGAGGUGAGUGGAACUGCGAGUGUAGAGGUGAAAUUCGUAGAUAUUCGCAAGAACACCAGUGGCGAAGGCGGCUCACCUGGCCCGAUACUGACGCUGAGGCACGAAAGCGUGGGAGCAACAGGG
rnacentral:rRNA from 1 species